UCAGUAACGCGUGAGAAUCUAGCUUCAGGUCGGGGACAACCACUGGAAACGGUGGCUAAUACCGGAUGUGCCGAGAGGUGAAAGGCUUGCUGCCUGAAGAUGAGCUCGCGUCUGAUUAGCUAGUUGGUGGGGUAAGAGCCUACCAAGGCGACGAUCAGUAGCUGGUCUGAGAGGAUGAUCAGCCACACUGGGACUGAGACACGGCCCAGACUCCUACGGGAGGCAGCAGUGGGGAAUUUUCCGCAAUGGGCGAAAGCCUGACGGAGCAAUACCGCGUGAGGGAGGAAGGCUCUUGGGUUGUAAACCUCUUUUCUCAGGGAAGAAAACAAUGACGGUACCUGAGGAAUAAGCAUCGGCUAACUCCGUGCCAGCAGCCGCGGUAAUACGGAGGAUGCAAGCGUUAUCCGGAAUGAUUGGGCGUAAAGCGUCCGCAGGUGGCUAUGAAAGUCUGCUGUUAAAGAGCAAGGCUCAACCUUGUAAAGGCAGUGGAAACUACAUGGCUAGAGUGCGUUCGGGGCAGAGGGAAUUCCUGGUGUAGCGGUGAAAUGCGUAGAGAUCAGGAAGAACACCGGUGGCGAAAGCGCU
rnacentral:rRNA from 1 species